rnacentral:rRNA from 1 species
GUAGGUGAACCUGCGGAAGGAUCAUUAACACUAAUCCAAACCUACUCAACCAAGCCUUCAAGUUGCUGACGAAAGUUAGCAGCCUACAAACGUAACCAAAAGAAAGCUAAACAAGCUAAACCUAAAACAAAUCCUCAACGAUGGAUAUCUAGGUUCCUACAACGAUGAAGAACGCAGCGAAGUGCGAUAAGCAAUGCGAAUUGCAGAACCGUGAGUCAUCAGAUUUUUGAACGCAACUGGCACCUUAGGGAAUUCCCUGAGGUAUGCUUCUUUCAGUAUGUGAUUCUCUCCUCACCCAAAAGAUAAUGCGACAGAUGCCCUUCUGUUGCUAAGCUCGAAAGCACUCUGCGCUCUGCAGUGGCUGGUGUUCGCAUCGGCCGCACUCAAUGCAGCAGUCACAUUCUCCAAUGUGAACUCAUUGAGAGCAGAGCCAGCGCGUGGGGCUAGUACCCGUGCCAGUGCUUGGCUAAUCUAAUUUUUUAAGCAUCUGAAAUGAAGUAGGAUCACCCGCUGAACUUAAGCAUAUCAGUA